CAGAGACUGCAAGCGUUAUUCGGAUUCACUGGGCGUAAAGGGUGCGCAGGCGGCCAAGUGUGUGAGGCGUGAAAGCCCGAAGCUUAACUUCGGAAUUGCACCUCAAACUACAUGGCUAGAGCAUUGGAGAGGGUAGCGGAAUUCACGGUGUAGCAGUGAAAUGCGUAGAUAUCGUGAGGAACACCAGAGGCGAAGGCGGCUACCUGGACAAUUGCUGACGCUCAGGCACGAAAGCGUGGGGAGCAAAAGGGAUUAGAUACCCCUGUAGUCCACGCCCUAAACGGUGCACACUAGGUCUUGGCGGAUUCGACCCCCCAGGGCCCAAGCUAACGCGUUAAGUGUGCCGCCUGAGGACUACGGCCGCAAGGCUA
rnacentral:rRNA from 1 species